GACGAACGCUGGCGGCGUGCUUAACACAUGCAAGUCGAACGAGAGCGUAGAGAAAGCUUGCUUUUUCUACAAUCUAGUGGCAAACGGGUGAGUAACGCGUAAACAACCUGCCCUACGGAUGGGGACAACAGCUGGAAACGGCUGCUAAUACCGAAUACGUUCCGAAAGUCGCAUGACUAUCGGAAGAAAGGAUGGCCUCUAUUUAUAAGCUAUCGCCGGAGGAGGGGUUUGCGUCUGAUUAGCUAGUUGGAGGGGUAACGGCCCACCAAGGCGACGAUCAGUAGCCGGUCUGAGAGGAUGAACGGCCACAUUGGAACUGAGACACGGUCCAGACUCCUACGGGAGGCAGCAGUGGGGAAUCUUCCGCAAUGGGAGAAAGCCUGACGGAGCAACGCCGCGUGAGUGAAGACGGCCUUCGGGUUGUAAAGCUCUGUUAUACGGGACGAAUAAUCUUGUGGUUAAUACCCAUGAGAAGUGACGGUACCGGAAGAGAAAGCCACGGCUAACUACGUG
rnacentral:rRNA from 1 species